GAUGAACGCUGGCGGCGUGCCUAAUACAUGCAAGUCGAGCGAAUGGAUUAAGAGCUUGCUCUUAUGAAGUUAGCGGCGGACGGGUGAGUAACACGUGGGUAACCUGCCCAUAAGACUGGGAUAACUCCGGGAAACCGGGGCUAAUACCGGAUAACAUUUUGAACCGCAUGGCUCGAAAUUGAAAGGCGGCUUCGGCUGUCACUUCUGGCUGGACCCGCGUCGCAUUAGCUAGUUGGUGAGGUAACGGCUCACCAAGGCAACGAUGCGUAGCCGACCUGAGAGGGUGAUCGGCCACACUGGGACUGAGACACGGCCCAGACUCCUACGGGAGGCAGCAGUAGGGAAUCUUCCGCAAUGGACGAAAGUCUGACGGAGCAACGCCGCGUGAGUGAUGAAGGCUUUCGGGUCGUAAAACUCUGUUGUUAGGGAAGAACAAGUGCUAGUUGAAUAAGCUGGCACCUUGACGGUACCUAACCAGAAAGCCACGGCUAACUACGUGCCAGCAGCCGCGGUAA
rnacentral:rRNA from 1 species